GAAAUGCGAUAAUUAAUGUGAAUUGCAGAAUUCAGUGAAUCAUCGAUUCUUUGAACGCACAUUGCGCCCCCUGGUAUUCAGGGGGGCAUGCCUGUCCGAGCGUCAUUGCUGCCCUCAAGCACGGCUUGUGUGUUGGGCUUCCGUCCCUGGCAACGGGGACGGGCCCAAAAGGCAGUGGCGGCACCAUGUCUGGUCCUCGAGCGUAUGGGGCUUUGUCACCCGCUCCCGUAGGUCCAGCUGGCAGCUAGCCUCGCAACCAAUCUUUUUAACCAGGUUGACCUCGGAUCAGGUAGGGAUACCCGCUGAACUUAAGC
rnacentral:misc_RNA from 1 species